AUCCCCUGUGGCUCAGUUGGUAGAGCAUAGCACUUGCAAUGCCAGAGUUGUGGGUUUGAUUCCCACCAGGGACU